AUGUAUUUACUAUUAGAAAGUGGAUAAACUUGAUACUUUUGUUACUCAGAAUUCACUAUGAAUACAGCAUUUUGUUAUAAGCACGAACCAUAUAAUAUAUGAUAUGUAUUAUUCGAUAGCCAUCCAUCGUCUAAUGGUAACCAUUGAAGUCUGUAUAAUACUCUAUGGUGCGGCCUACUCACCACAAAAUCCUGAUUGCAAUCCCCGAGUUGUACGAUUUCAAAAAAAACAUGUAGCAAUUUACCAUUCAUGAUAGAAAAAAUUGAAAUUAUGUGAUCACAAUCCAACCACUCCUUGUAAAACUCUUUCUACCACAAAAUAUAGAUUAAAAUUUUGCUCUCAUCCUAAUCGCGUGCAAGCCACGUGAAGCAUUUCUGGCUACAGAUGACACUGCAAACCGUCCUACCCACAACCCACCAUAGCCUCUCAAGUCAUCCUCCUACAUGUCAUCGAAAUGCCUAAAUUUAGAAUUGGAUGCCCACAAAGCAUGACCUUGUGGGACACACAAGAAAAAA